rnacentral:lncRNA from 1 species
AUAAAAGCAAGCUGCCUGGAGGCAUCAGUGGCAAUCCGGCAGGGUUCCCUUCCGCAGGGUGGAAGCUUUGUUUUUUCGCUCUUUGGGUCCACACGGCCUUUAUGAGCUGUAACACUUACCGCAAAGGUCUGCGGCUUCACUCCUGAAGCCAGUGAGACCACGAGCCCACCGGGAGGCAGGAACAACUCCAGACGCGCUGCCUUAAGACCUGUAACACUCACGGUGAGGGUCUGCAGCAUCACUCCUGAGCCAGCGAGACCACGAACCCACCAGAAGGAAGAAACUCCGAACACAUCCAAACAUCAGAAGGAACAAACUCCAGACGUGCCACCUUAAGAGCUGUAACACUCACCGUGAGGGUCCGCGGCUUCAUUCUUGAAGUCAGUGAGACCAAGAACCCAUCAAUUCCGGACACACUAGGAAGAAGGUAAAAUUAACUUCAUUUCUUGCCAUAAACUUUCUACAUUGCACACUGAAGAGUAGAAAUUGUGAGUAAUCUUAUGUGCUGUAUCAGUGAAGACAUGUCUUCCAAAAUAACAUGCUUACUUUGGAUUAAGAAAUACAUCUUAAUGUGUGAUAUGAAGGAUUCUCUGCACUUGAAAGACCAGAUGUUCAUUGUAUUUGAUGAGCUACAGA